GACGAACCGUGCGAACGUUGUUCGGAAUCACUGGGCUUAAAGGGCGCGUAGGCGGACAGUCAAGUCAGGGGUGAAAUCCCACGGCUCAACCGUGGAAGUGCCUUUGAUACUGACAGUCUCGAGGGAGGUAGGGGCGUGCGGAACUUCCGGUGGAGCGGUGAAAUGCGUAGAUAUCGGAAGGAACGCCGGUGGCGAAAGCGGCGCGCUGGACCUCUUCUGACGCUGAGGCGCGAAAGCGUGGGGAGCAAACAGG
rnacentral:rRNA from 1 species